AUGGCCGUGUCCAGGGGCGUGGUGACCCCCACACACGCCUCUACCAGCGCCAUGGUGGCCGCGUCCAACAGCGCGACGGAUAGCCUGCAUCUGGCGACGGAAACGCCGGAGUCCACCCACUCCAUGGAAGCGACGACGGUAGCAACGAUCAUCCUUUGCGGAUCAGACGGAGGAAUAAGGAGACGAGGCCUGUCAUCUCACCGUCGGCGAGUUGCUCCUCCUUUCCUCUCGUUUCUCUGUUGUUUUUGCUCUCUGGUAGUUCUGGCGUGCGCGAUAACGUGUUCGAGACACUCCCAUCACCCAUAA
rnacentral:rRNA from 1 species